GAUGCUAAUACCGGAUAAAAGACUACUUUCGCAUGAAAGAAGUUUAAAAGGCGGCGUAAGCUGUCGCUAAAGGAUGGACCUGCGAUGCAUUAGCUAGUUGGUAAGGUAACGGCUUACCAAGGCGAUGAUGCAUAGCCGAGUUGAGAGACUGAUCGGCCACAUUGGGACUGAGACACGGCCCAAACUCCUACGGGAGGCAGCAGCA
rnacentral:rRNA from 1 species